AGGAGGACAAGGAGAAGAGAGAUGCCAUCGAUACGAAGAACCAGGCUGAUUCUGUUGUGUAUCAGACAGAGAAGCAACUGAAGGAGCUUGGAGACAAAGUGCCUGGGCCAGUGAAGGAGAAGGUGGAAUCAAAACUUGGGGAAUUGAAGGAGGCAAUUUCAGGUGGCUCAACCGAGGCCAUUAAGGAAGCAAUGGCUGCUCUAAAUCAAGAGGUGAUGCAACUGGGACAAUCCUUGUACAAUCAGCCUGGUGCUGGUGCUGCUCCUGGACCGGGUGCUAGCAGCGAAUCAGGGCCAUCGGAAUCAACAGGCAAAGGACCCGAAGGAGAUGUCAUUGAUGCCGAUUUUAGUGACAGCAAAUGAAAAGAUUAAAAUUUGUUUUCCCCCCUAUUCUGAAUAGAAAAUUUUGCUCUCAACGGGCUCGGAUUUGUAUUCCGAUUUGAUUUUUCUGGGGCAG
rnacentral:lncRNA from 1 species